AAAUUACCUUCCAGGCAGCCAACUUCUUCAAGAAAACUUCCCUGGUUUAUGAAGACAAAGAAGUUUCUGCCAUCUUCUAUGGAAGUCACCCCCAACAACAAGAGCAUGAGAACCAGAACCACAAGUCCAUUUUGGACAACACCAGAAGAUAUCUGUAACUCAGAACCCGCUUGUACAAGAGGGCAGUGGCAGGAAAGGUCAAACCAACUGCCCAAUUAAAGGCUCAGGAACCCACGGCCCCAGCAAUGGCUGAGGGUGAGCCAGAAAUGCAGGCUGCAAGCAAGGGAGGGAUGUGGGUCUGGGUAAGGGCCAGAGUCUUCCGAUCUAAUUGUCAAGAAGCUGGAGGGAAUUAUUCAGAGAAACUGAACAGAGAGCCUCCGGAUAUGCGGACGCCAAGUGCAGAGGAGGGCCAUGUACCAAACCAGACCCAGAGGACUGGGUGCAGGGCAUGGAAGUCAUCCAACAGCUGCUGGAGGGACUGUGCAGAGUUACGACGGAGACAGUGACUCCUCCAAAGGGGUCUCGAGGGGAUGCAUUGUGCUGGAGUCUCAAUCAAGUGCCUGGAAGCUGAACGUGAAAAACAGUGCUGCCUGGAUUACAGAGAUACUGGCCAUAAAUGCAUUCGUGGGCUCUCAAGAAGCAUUAGGGAUGCCAUGAAGGAGGGGCAUUUUUACUUUGUGUCCUACCAAAUUCACUUAAUUAUACAUAGCAAUGAGGAAAGUGUGGGAAACAGCAAAUCUGACCUUAGUGUGCCUUUGACUAAUCCAAGCUUAUUGUUUGUGAGUUAAUAUUGUGAAAUGAUCCCCUGUGCAUAUAAUGCAGUCAUCUUCAAAUAAAAAUCUGUGGCUUCAGACCUCUCUUCCUUCUUUGCUUCUUUUCUUCUCCCUUUCUUCCUUUCUUUUCUUCUUGCUCCUUCUUUCCCUUCUUCCACUCUCUCCCUCCCUUCCUUCUUGCUUUUCUCCCUCAUCUCUCUCUGUCUUUUAAAUCUUUCCAUUUUUAUUUCUGCAUAUGAUGCUGGGCUUCCUUCCCUGUGGCUCCCAAACUAGAAGAGCAUUUAUGAACCCCUGAUAUAAUGUAGGGCUUCCCAAAGUGGAGUGAUUGCAAGAUGAUCCAUUGCUGUCAAGAAUUAGAUAUUCUAGUUAUAUUUAUUGUAUCUACAAUAUGAAAAAUAAGAUUUUACAAAUAUAUAAUUAUAUUUUUACUAAUGCCACAAGUGCUAUAAGAUAGUGGCAUGAGAUCACAGAUGUUUGGGUUUGGAUUUCUUAGAUUUGAU
rnacentral:lncRNA from 10 species